rnacentral:tRNA from 1 species
GCUCUUAUAGCUCAGUUUGUUAGAGCACCCGUUUUGUAAGUGGGAGUACUUGCGUUCAACUUUCAACAAGAGCA